CCCCAUAACCCCAUGACCCCAACCCCCCCGCUGCGCGCAGGCCUGUGCUCCCCGUUUAACAUGGACGUUCUCCACCCGCGCUUCUUCCACGGCCCCCCGGAGUCGCAGUUCGGCUACAAAGUGCUGCAGCACGCGGUGGGCAGCGAGCGGUGGUGAGUGACCCCCAAGUGUGGGGCGGGGACCCCCAAGUGUGGGGCAGGAGCCUCAAUGUGUGGGGCAGGGACCCCAAAUGUGGGGCGGGAGCCUCAAUGUGUGGGGCUGUGACCCCCAAGUGUGGGGCAGGGACUGCGAAGUUUGAAUCUAGGACCCCAAAUGUGGGGCAGGAGCCUCAAUAUGGGGGGCUGAGACCCCCAAGUGUGGGGCAGGGAGUGCGAAGUUUGAAGCCAGGA
rnacentral:lncRNA from 1 species